GCUUUACUGUAACCUGAAAUUGAAAUUGGACUUUAUUUGCGCAGUAUAGGUGGGAGGCAUUGAGAAUAUUCUUGCGGGAAUAUAGGAGCCAUCAGUGAGAUACCACUCUUGUAAUGUUAGAUUUCUAACUUUGUAUCAUUAUCUGGUCAAAGAACAGUUUCAGGCGGGCAGUUUGACUGGGGCGGUCGCCUCCUAAAUGGUAACGGAGGCGCACAAAGGUUUCCUCUGAACGGGUAGAAAUCGUAUCUAGAGUGUAAAGGCAUAAGGAAGCUUGACUGUGAGACCUACAAGUCGAGCAGGGACGAAAGUCGGUCUUAGUGAUCUGACGGUGCUG
rnacentral:rRNA from 1 species